AGCGCGAUGGCCGAGUGGUUAUGGCGUUGGACUUAAGUUCCAAUGGACGCAAUUCUUCUUGGGUUCGAACCCCACUCUCGCUA
rnacentral:tRNA from 1 species